rnacentral:rRNA from 1 species
GAUGAACGCUAGCUACAGGCUUAACACAUGCAAGUCGAGGGGCAGCAUGGUCUUAGCUUGCUAAGAUUGAUGGCGACCGGCGCACGGGUGAGUAACACGUAUCCAACCUGCCGUCUACUCUUGGACAGCCUUCUGAAAGGAAGAUUAAUACCCGAUGGCAUAGUUCUUCCGCAUGGUAGAACUAUUAAAGAAUUUCGGUCAUCGAUGGGGAUGCGUUCCAUUAGGUUGUUGGCGGGGUAACGGCCCACCAAGCCUUCGAUGGAUAGGGGUUCUGAGAGGAAGGUCCCCCACAUUGGAACUGAGACACGGUCCAA